AAUUUACCUCAGACUAAAGGAUAUUCUGAAUCCAUAAUACAAAGCUUAAAAGCCAGCCUGGAAAGAAUCAGAUUGUUUCCAAGUAACUUAACUGCAUCCCAAAUCAAAGUCCAAAAAUAUUUAAAGAUCCAAAACUGGAUGAAGUCCCAACAAGCCCUGAGAGCCAGUUGGCUUCUCCUGUGGAAUUCAUUGAAACCAUCAUGGUAUUCCCAACUUGUGGACUGCCCUAUGGAAAUCAGGCUUGCCAAUCCCCAUGGUGCAUGAGAAGCUUUGAACGACCAGCAGGAACUGGCAGCAACAUCUUUUGCAAGUUCCAGAAAACAGUUAAAGGACUUCAGUAACAGGGCCAGCAUGGAAUAAAAAAUAAAAUAAAAUAAAAUAAAGGCUACUUGAAAGUGACAAGAUCUGAAGGAAUGAAGUCCUGAAGCAUGUGACAUGAAUAAACCUUGGG